rnacentral:rRNA from 1 species
UACGAAGGGGGCUAGCGUUGCUCGGAAUGACUGGGCGUAAAGGGCGCGUAGGCGGUUCGUACAGUCAGACGUGAAAUUCCCGGGCUCAACCUGGGGGCUGCGUUUGAUACGUACGGGCUUGAGUUCGGAAGAGGGUCGUGGAAUUCCCAGUGUAGAGGUGAAAGUUCGUAGAUAUUCGGAAGAACACCAGUGGCGAAGGCGACUCACUGGCCCGUUACUGACGCUGAGGCGCGAAAGCGUGGGGAGCAAACAGG